CCAUUAUGCUAAUAGCUGCUUAUGAUCUUUUUGGUUCUAGCUUUUCUAGGCAGAGAUUAUUGGGCUGCAUCCCAUAGUUUUGAAAGCACUGCUUUUACCCAUCCUAGCUGAAGAAUUAAAGCUAGUUAAUGUCCUCAAUAACAGGUUGAGAGUCAAGUAGGAAAAACACUGGAGACCUGGGGCCAAAUCCCUGCUCUUCUACUGCCUUGCUAAGCAAGGGAGGAUGCAUCGCUGUGCCUCACUUUCCGACUUUAAAAGAGGGAGUAAAAACAUUGAAAUCUUUAUAGAAGUUUCUGCACAACCAUAGGCAUCCCUGGAUGAGCCCCAGGUGCUGCAAGAGAACAAUGGACACAAUGAGUCCAGCUGGUGUCACACUUGGUCACUCAGUGCUUCUGGGGGUUACGAGACAUUUUUCUCUCCCACCAGCCCUGGGCAACCACUAUUUGACUUUCUGUCUCUAUGAAUUUUACUACCUUCCACUUUCUCCAUUCUUUCAUUGAGAACUCUGGGGGAUCAAAGAAGAACGCCAGCUGCGGUGGACCGCUGAGGAAUGGCCGGAGUCCGGGCGGGAGCGCCGCUUCCCCUCGCCCUCCGCCUCUCCCUUCCCGCGGCCCCUGGAGGCCGAGACCCAUCCGCGUCCCGCGCGCGCUUUCCUCAGAGGCUCGGCCGGGCGCCCUGCUUCGAAGUGGGCCUGAGGGAGCCUCCGCCUCCGCCGCUGCUUUCUUCCCCUUCGUUCUCCAGCGGCUCCUCCAGGCCGCUCCAGAGACCCCGAGGACCCAAGGACGGUGCCGGGCGGAAAGUCUGUGCGAAGCUGGUGAAAAGGUUGCCCGGAGAGAGCGGAAGCUGUGAGGAUGGGCAAAGCGCCCCUGCCCAGCCGCCCCGCCGCAGAACCGGUACACGCGCCUGCCCGCCUCGGGCGCCCCUUUGGCGCUGAGCUUUUCGCGCGGGGCGCGCAUCCCUCUCCACUCCGGCUCUCUGGCGCCAUCUUGUGUAGCUUUCUUAAACAGCCACAAAAUGCGGAUCUUUUAGGUCUCUAGUAACCUGAUUUUUCAAGUACAAAAAUAGUUUUCGAUGUCUUAUUGAAGAAAACAUUUUCUUCUCUACAAGAAAGCAAAGUCUACCCAUUGUUCUAGCACAUAAUGAGCAAGGCUUUGUUUCCUGAACAUAUUCGUAAAUACUUCAAGGAUAAUCUUAAGUAUAGAAGUUGAUUUUAGUCUAAAGUCUUGCCUUUUAGAAACGACUUGGGAGACAGAAAGAAAGAAAAAUGA
rnacentral:lncRNA from 1 species